ACCAGUGUGGCUUAAUGGUUUGAGCACUAGACUACAGUUCUAGAGACCAGGGCUCAAAUCCCUACUUGGCCA